rnacentral:rRNA from 1 species
AAAGGCAACGCCUGCCCAGUGAAUUAUUAAACGGCCGCGGUACCCUAACCGUGCAAAGGUAGCAUAAUCAUUUGUCUAUUAAUUGUAGACCUGUAUGAAAGGCAAAAUGAGGGUUAAACUGUCUCUUAUAAUAAAUCUAUUAAACUGAUCCCCCAGUAAAAAAGCUGGAAUAUCAACAUAAGACCAGAAGACCCUGUGAAGCUUAAACUAAACUAUUAAACCAAAUAAUAACUACUUUCGGUUGGGGCGACCUUGGAAACAAAAAGAACUUCCAAAUAAUAAUAUUACACACAUACAGGCCCACAAGCCAAUAAACGACCCAGUAAAACUGAUAAUUGAACAAAGUUACUCCAGGGAUAACAGCGCUAUCUUCUUCAAGAGCCCAUAUCAAAAAGAAGGUUUACGACCUCGAUGUUGGAUCAGGAC